rnacentral:lncRNA from 1 species
CUGGUGUACAAUACAUGAAGCCUCAAAAUCUCACUGACUACAAGUUGUAUUUGACACACAACCUGGCCCUGCCAACUGACCAAAUCAGACCUUAAAAUCUAAACAUCACAGAAAUGGGCUCGUCUGCAAAUUUAAUUACACAAAUGGGUCAUUUUUAUUAAUAAUAAAUAAAUAAAUAAAACUUAGAUUUACAUGUUUAUAUGCUGAGAAUAUCUCAGACCAGCAGCCAAAUUUGAUCCAUUAAGCUGUCUUUGAUCUGUUAAGUAAUUGUUUAAGGGAUAUCUGAUGCACUAACAACACAUCCUUCAGUUUUUCUGUCUACAGGAUCAAGAAGAUGCUUAGUCAACGUCUCUUCUUUAUCUUUAUUUUCCACCCUUUUCUCCUCAUUUUUACCCCAUAGAACUGAGUAGAGACAAUCACAAUGAGAAUUCCACCCAUAAUUCUGCAAGAGAAAAACUUGUUAAAUUAAAUAUGGAGAAGUAAAGAUAUUUUGAUCAAGUUUGUAUUUCCCUCUAAAAUUUGUUCAUUUUGUUUUCUAUCUUUUUAACUAACCUCUCACCUCAUUUACAUUCAUAAUUAAUGAUAAAACCAUCUAACUCAUAUAUAUAUAGCUUUAUAACUAUGUUUAGAACUCGGAAACAAAAAGAAAAACGAAAAGAAAAUGAAAAUUAGUUGAAAAUUGCACAUAGAAGUAAUCUUAUUUUUUCAAUCACAAGAAUCAUGUUCAUUAGGUGGAUCUUUUCUACUUUUAUUUUUUAAUUUUCUUAUCUUUUCUAUUUCCUUUUUAAUUUUUUGUUCACUUUUCCUUUCUUUGAGUUUUCCAAGUUCCAAUCAUUGCAGAGUAAUAGUUUAUAGAUUCAUUUGACAUACCCUCCUGAGUUUAACUGAUCCCCAAGAAUUAGAAAGGCCAUGAUAGCAACUAGAACAGUCUGCACUGGUUGAAAGUCCACAAUGUCAAUAAUUUUGUACAAACAGCUUUGAAAUUUUCCAUUACAGAGGAUGUGCAAAGCAUUUCUAUUUACAUCAAAAGACUACAACAUACCAACUUUGCACAUCGAACACAACUCCAUCCCAAGCUAUUUUGACUAUAUUAGUGCAAUUUUCUCACAACCAGAAAAAAUGACUCAUUACUAUCACGAUGGACUCAUUACUAUUACAAUAAACAAAACAGAAAAUCUUAACCAAAAUUUGCAGAUUAUAGGGUUUGGUCCUCAUAAAGUUUAAGCCCUAAAAAAGCUAUUCUUGAACACCAAAACACAAAUUGGAACGUAUCUAAGCCUGAUUUCAACCCAUACAACAAGAAAAUCCAUAUACAAAGUCUAAAAUUGACGAAUCGACGAGAAGGGCUCACAUCUCUUCGUAUUAGUUUGUCUAGCGAAAUGGCUUCAGUUGCUGAUGUGGAGAUCUCUCCGUCGAUAUAUAUUGCUGCAAGGUGAUUCGGAGGAGAGAGAAGGGACUGACUCGUCGCGAAGAGAGAGGGACAAGGGACUGCAAUUUUUCGCAGAGAGAGGCUUAGAGAGUAAAAGUCGUGUUUGAUUUUUUCGGGCCGACUGUAAUGAGGAAAGAGAAG